UACGGGGGAUGCAAGCGUUAUCCGGAUUUAUUGGGUUUAAAGGGUGCGUAGGCUGUGAGGUAAGUCAGCGGUGAAAUGCCCCCGCUCAACGGGGUGAAGUGCCAUUGAUAUUGCCUUGCUGGAAUGCGGAUGCCGUGGGAGGAAUGUGUGGUGUAGCGGUGAAAUGCAUAGAUAUCACACAGAACACCGAUUGCGAAGGCAUCUCACGAAUCCGCGAUUGACGCUGAUGCACGAAAGCGUGGGUAUCAAACAGG
rnacentral:rRNA from 1 species